GCAUUAUAUGCCUCAUAGAUUGAAGUUUUUAGACGAAUGAUAAAGAGAAUGCAACAAUUGCCUGCUGGCGAGCUAUCUCGGAGAUGAAGAACGGCCCUUCAAGCUGACUUCAUAGUACGCCGAGUCUAUCUUUGUGUAUCUGCACAAAAACAAGACGAAUAUAAAUACAUGCCACCGUGGGAUGUGAAGACACGGACAUGAUAAUGAGAGACAUAAUUAUAUAAUGUAGCUGAACAGAAAUUAAUAUAUCUUGUUUUUGUCUUCUUUGUCUUUGAA